rnacentral:rRNA from 1 species
CCUACCAUGGUGGUAACGGGUAACGGGGAAUUAGGGUUCGAUUCCGGAGAGGGAGCCUGAGAAACGGCUACCACAUCCAAGGAAGGCAGCAGGCGCGCAAAUUACCCAAUCCCGACACGGGGAGGUAGUGACAAUAAAUAACAAUACGGGGCUCUUUCGGGUCUCGUAAUUGGAAUGAGUACAAUUUAAAUCCCUUAACGAGGAACAAUUGGAGGGCAAGUCUGGUGCCAGCAGCCGCGGUAAUUCCAGCUCCAAUAGCGUAUAUUAAAGUUGUUGCAGUUAAAAAGCUCGUAGUUGAAUUUCGGGAUCAAUUUACUGGUCGUGCUAUUGUACGUACUGGUUUUAUUGAUUUCUACCUUCUGACGAACCAUGAUGCCAUUAAUUUGGUGUUAUGGGAAAUCAGGACUGUUACUUUGAAAAAAUUAGAGUGUUUAAAGCAGGCUCACGCUUGAAUACAUUAGCAUGGAAUAAUGAAAUAGGACGUUUGAUUCUAUUUUGUUGGUUUCUAGGAUCGACGUAAUGAUUAAUAGGGAUAGUUGGGGGCAUUAGUAUUCAAUUGUCAGAGGUGAAAUUCUUGGAUUUAUUGAAGACUAACUACUGCGAAAGCAUUUGCCAAGGAUGUUUUCAUUAAUCAAGAACGAAAGUUAGGGGAUCGAAGACGAUCAGAUACCGUCGUAGUCUUAACCAUAAACUAUGCCGACUAGGGAUCGGAUGAUGUUAAUUUUUUAAUGACUCAUUC